rnacentral:rRNA from 1 species
UACGGAGGGUGCAAGCGUUAAUCGGAAUUACUGGGCGUAAAGCGCACGCAGGCGGGCUGUCAAGUCGGAUGUGAAAUCCCCGGGCUUAACCCGGGAAUUGCAUUCGAGACUGGCAGGCUAGAGUCUUGUAGAGGGGGGUAGAAUUCCAGGUGUAGCGGUGAAAUGCGUAGAGAUGUGGAGGAAUACCAAUGGCGAAGGCAGCCCCUUGGGAAUGUACUGACGCUCAGGUGCGAAAGCGUGGGGAGCAAACAGG